GCGUAUAUUAAAGUUGUUGCGGUAAAAAAGCUCGUAGUUGGAUUUCUGUUGAGGGCGUCCGGUCCGUACCACGUACGCGUAUCUGGGUCGCGCUCGGCAUCCUCUCGAAGAACGGUUCUCGCGCUUGAUUGCGUGGUCCGGGUUUCGGGACUUUUACUUUGAGGAAAUUAGAGUGUUCACGGCAGGCAAUUGCCCGGAUACAUUAGCAUGGGAUAAUACUAUAGGAUUUUGGUUCUAUUUUGUUGGUUUCUAGGACUAAAAUAAUGAUUAAUAGGGACAAUUGGGGGCAUUCGUAUCAACACGCUAGAGGUGAAAUUCUUGGAUUGUGUUGCGACGAACUACUGCGAAAGCAUUUGCCAAGGAUGUUUUCAUUGAUCAAGAACAAAAGUAAGGGGAUCGAAGAUGAUUAGAUACCGUCGUAGUCUUUACCACAAACUAUGCCAACUAGAGAUGGGGCAUCGUUCAAUACGACUUGCUCCGCACCUUAUGAGAUAUCAAAGUCUUUGGGUUCCGGGGGGAGUAUGGUCGCAAGUCUGGAACUUAAAG
rnacentral:rRNA from 1 species